GGUAAUACGAAGGGGGCUAGCGUUGUUCGGAAUUACUGGGCGUAAAGCGCGUGUAGGCGGCAUUGCAAGUCUUGUGUGAAAGCCCUGGGCUCAACCCAGGAAGUGCGCGAGAUACUGCAGUGCUGGAGUGCUGGAGAGGGUGGCGGAAUUCCCGGUGUAGAGGUGAAAUUCGUAGAUAUCGGGAGGAACACCUGUGGCGAAGGCGGCCACCUGGACAGUGACUGACGCUGAGACGCGAAAGCGUGGGUAGCAAACAGG
rnacentral:rRNA from 1 species